rnacentral:sRNA from 1 species
GCGGAGACGCAUGUUUCCGUUCACUCCUCACACCACACUCCGCCCGGACUGCUGUUCCGGGCGGUU